GGCUGGUCCGAUGGCAGUGGGCUAUCAGAACUUAUUAACAUUAGUGUCACUAAAGUUGGUAUACCACCCCCAUACUGCUAAAUUUGACUGGCAAAA
ensembl:misc_RNA Y_RNA Y RNA